AAACCAGCCCCAAAAACCCCCGAAACAGCCCGUAAAAAAUCCCAAAAAAUCCCAAAAACCCCCGGAACAUUCCGGAACAUUCCCAGCUGGAUCUGUCAUCGCUGGGCCGGGCGUGGCGGCUGGAGCUGGGUCCCGCCCGCGCCUCCUUCGAGCUGCCCGGCGUGUCGUGCUCCGGGCUCCGCGUGCGGCUCCUGCGGCUCUCGGGGGCGGCGGCGCAGCGCUGGCUGCGGCACCUGAGCCACGGCCGCGACUACGAGAUGAGGCUCUGAGAAUUCCAGAGAAAAUCCCGAAAAUCCCGGAAUUCCGGAGACAUCCCACGGCCGCGACUACGAGAUGAGAUUGUGAGAAUUCCAGAGAAUUCCUGGAAUUCCGGAGCUCCGGAGACAUCCCACGGCCGUGACUGUGA
rnacentral:lncRNA from 1 species